GACGAACGCUGGCGGCGUGCUUAACACAUGCAAGUCGAACGGAAAGGCCCCCUUGUGGGGUACUCGAGUUGCGAACGGGUGAGUAACACGUGAGUAACCUACCCUUGACUUUGGGAUAACUUCAGGAAACUGGGGCUAAUACCGGAUAGGAGCUCCUUCUGCAUGGUGGGGGUUGGAAAGUUUCGGCGGUUGGGGAUGGACUCGCGGCUUAUCAGCUUGUUGGUGGGGUAGUGGCUCACAAAGGCUUUGACGGGUAGCCGGCCUGAGAGGGUGACCGGCUACAUUGGGACACGGAUAAGGCGCAGAAUGCUUCGUGAGGUAGUGGUGGGGAUUCUUGGGAAAUGGGCGAAGGCGUGAUGGAGGAUCGUCGCGUUGGGGAUGACGGUUUUCGGGUUGUAAAUCAAUUUCGCGUGGAUCGAAGCGUCAGUGACUGUAAUGGGGAAAGAGGCAACGGUUAACUCUGU
rnacentral:rRNA from 1 species